CCCCACCUCUCGCGCGACGUCACGCGGCCGGGCCGGGCGGUGGCGGCGCGCGGGGAUGGAGCGGCUGCCGCUCGGCCGGGUAAAUUCUUGGUCCAUCUGGAAGUGUCUAGAGGCAAGGAAGGCCCGGAAUUUUUGCUUACAGCUCUGGAGGAGGAGUCUUCCCUUUCCACUGGCUUCCCCAGCACAUUUACUGGUGUGGCGUGUUCUCCUCAGGUGGUUCUGUAGCUGUCUGUCUGCCAGUGAGAGCUGGGUUUUGGCACGUGAAUUCACCAAGUGCAAGGUGUUUCUCAGGUGAGCUGGCUGGUUGCCUGCCUCCUGAUAGACCUGGAGUCUCCUCACCCCUGAAAUAGAGGGAGUGGGUUUUGCUGUCCCCUAAGGCCUGAUGAAGGCUGGUUGCUGUAGCACACUGAAUGGUGUUGGGCACAGAGGUUGUGCACUCCCCAUGGGGGAUGGAGCUCCUGUGGACUUGAGCUCUCUGGGGCCAGGAACAGGAUGGUCUCUCAACAGCAAGACUUGUAAAAAUGGUGUGUAGACAAUGAACCCUGGUGGCCCAGGUGACAUCAAGAGGUCCCUUCCAAGGUCAGCAAAUCUGUGAACUCGGCACAGUGUUUCCUAGAGGGUAAACUGACAUCCCUAGAAAGAGUGAAGAUGGCUGAAUGAAAAGGAACAUGAAGGUGGCAGUCUAGACAUGCAUUGUCUGCACUUCUAGAAACUCAGUAUUCUGCUGUGAUUAAAUACUGAAAAUACUUAACCCCCCCAAGCAGUUGAGACCCUGGAUAUUGUUACAGGACAAUGAUAGCUGACCAAGCUGAUUGUUUGGUCUUGAAUCAAAAUUGUUCUUCCAACCAAACUGUUAAGGAAAAAAGAAAGAAGACAAUUAAUUGUGUAGAGUUAAAUAUAUUUUUGCAAAAUGUAAUGUCUUCGUACUUUCAGAAACAUUUAAUGGUAAUGCAGAUCUAGUUGACCCUUUUCAUUUUUAAACUCCUGUACCAAAAAUACAAAACACUUCUAUCAAAAUAAGAUUGAGAACUUUGAUUUGGAAGCUAGAUCUGACACACCAUCUGAAAUGCAAACACAGAACAGGAGGUCUCUGCCCCAAAAAUGUUUACGUUUUAUUAACUUAAAU
rnacentral:lncRNA from 1 species